rnacentral:sRNA from 1 species
GCCGGGAGUGGUGGUGCACACCUGUAAUCCCAGUGACUUGGGAGGCUGAGGCAGGAGGAUCUCAAGAUGGAGGCCAGCCUCAG